GGUUGAUCCCGCCGGACCUGACUGCUAUCGGAUUNGGUACUGAGCCAUGCGAGUCAUUGUAGCAAUACAAGGCGGACGGCUCAGUAAACACGUAGUCAACCUAACCUAUGGACGUGGAUAACCUCGGGAAACUGAGAAUAAACCACGAUAGAUCAUGAUGCCUGGAAUGGCUUAUGGUUCAAACAAUUUAUUGCCGUAGGAUGGGACUGCGGCCUAUCAGCUUGUUGGUGAGGUAAUGGCCCACCAAGGCUAUAACAGGUACGGGCUCUGAGAGGAGAAGCCCGGAGAUGGGUACUGAGACACGGACCCAGGCCCUAUGGGGCGCAGCAGGCGAGAAACCUUAGCAAUGUGCGAAAGCACGACUAGGUUAAUCCGAGUGGCUCCUGCUAAAGGAACCUUUUGUCAGUCGUAAAACCACAGACGAAUAAGGGGUGGGCAAGUCUGGUGUCAGCCGCCGCGGUAAUACCAGCACCUCGAGUGGUCAGGAGGUUUAUUGGGCCUAAAGCAUCCGUAGCCGGCUAUGCAAGUCUCCGGUUAAAUCCAACUGCUCAACAGAUGGGCUGCCGGAGAUACUACAUAGCUAGGGAGCGGGAGAGGCAGACGGUAUUCGGUGGGUAGGGGUAAAAUCCACUGAUCCAUCGAGGACCACCAGUGGCGAAGGCGGUCUGCCAGAACGCGUUCGACGGUGAGGGAUGAAAGCUGGGGGAGCAAACCGGAUUAGAUACCCGGGUAGUCCCAGCUGUAAACGAUGCAAACUCGGUGAUGCGUUGGCUUAUGGCCAACGCAGUGCCGCAGGGAAGCCGUUAAGUUUGCCGCCUGGGAAGUACGGACGCAAGUCUGAAACUUAAAGGAAUUGGCGGGGGAGCACCACAAGGGGUGAAGCCUGCGGUUCAAUUGGAUUCAACGCCGG
rnacentral:rRNA from 1 species